AUUGAACGCUGGCGGCAUGCCUUACACAUGCAAGUCGAACGGCAGCACGGGAGCAAUCCUGGUGGCGAGUGGCGAACGGGUGAGUAAUAUAUCGGAACGUGCCCAGUCGUGGGGAUAACGUAGCGAAAGCUACGCUAAUACCGCAUACGAUCUAUGGAUGAAAGCGGGGGAUCGCAAGACCUCGCGCGAUUGGAGCGGCCGAUAUCAGAUUAGGUAGUUGGUGAGGUAAAGGCUCACCAAGCCGACGAUCUGUAGCUGGUCUGAGACGGACGACCAGCCACACUGGGACUGAGACACGGCCCAGACUCCUACGGGAGGCAGCAGUGGGGAAUUUUGGACAAUGGGCGCAAGCCUGAUCCAGCAAUGCCGCGUGCAGGAUGAAGG
rnacentral:rRNA from 1 species